rnacentral:rRNA from 1 species
AACGAACGCUGGCGGCAGGCCUAACACAUGCAAGUCGAGCGGACCUUUCGGGGUCAGCGGCGGACGGGUGAGUAACGCGUGGGAAUAUGCCCUUCUCUACGGAAUAGUCCUGGGAAACUGGGGGUAAUACCGUAUACGCCCUUUGGGGGAAAGAUUUAUCGGGGAAGGAUUAGCCCGCGUUGGAUUAGGUAGUUGGUUGGGUAAUGGCCUACCAAGCCGACGAUCCAUAGCUGGUUUGAGAGGAUGAUCAGCCACACUGGGACUGAGACACGGCCCAGACUCCUACGGGAGGCAGCAGUGGGGAAUCUUAGACAAUGGGGGCAACCCUGAUCUAGCCAUGCCGCGUGAGUGAUGAAGGCCUUAGGGUUGUAAAGCUCUUUCAGCUGGGAAGAUAAUGACGGUACCAGCAGAAGAAGCCCCGGCUAACUCCGUG